GGGCCCGCACAAGCGGUGGAGUAUGUGGUUUAAUUCGAUGCAACGCGAAGAACCUUACCAGGGUUUGACAUCCUGCGAAUCUCUUGGAAACGAGAGAGUGCCUUCGGGAACGCAGUGACAGGUGGUGCAUGGCUGUCGUCAGCUCGUGUCGUGAGGUGUUGGGUUAAGUCCCGCAACGAGCGCAACCCCUAUCUUUAGUUGCCAGCAUUUAGUUGGGCACUCUAGAGAGACCGCCGGUGAUAAACCGGAGGAAGGUGUGGAUGACGUCAAGUCAUCAUGCCCCUUACAUCCUGGGCUACACACGUACUACAAUGCUACGGACAAAGAGCAGCAAGUUCGCGAGGACAAGCAAAUCUCAUAAACCGUGGCUCAGUUCAGAUCGUAGGCUGCAACUCGCCUACGUGAAGGAGGAAUC
rnacentral:rRNA from 1 species